rfam:Streptomyces paucisporeus strain CGMCC 4.2025 genome assembly, contig: Ga0079900_110
CGCUCAUCCAGAGGGGCAGAGGGAACGGCCCGUUGAAGCCCCGGCAACCCUCCCGCCGACCGCGAGGUCAGGUGGGGAAGGUGCCAAUUCCGUCUUGUGGCGACGUCCGCCACGAGGAAGAUGAGGA